CGCGUAGGCGGUGCUGUAAGUCAGGCGUGAAAUCCCCGGGCUCAACCUGGGAAUUGCGCAUGAUACUGCGGCGCUGGAAUGCGGGAGAGGAUGGCGGAAUUCCCAGUGUAGAGGUGAAAUUCGUAGAUAUUGGGAGGAACACCGGUGGCGAAGGCGGCCAUCUGGCCCGUAAUUGACGCUGAGGCGCGAAAGCGUGGGAGCAAACA
rnacentral:rRNA from 1 species